GAUGAACGCUGGCGGCGUGCCUAAUACAUGCAAGUCGAGCGAACGGACGAGAAGCUUGCUUCUCUGAUGUUAGCGGCGGACGGGUGAGUAACACGUGGAUAACCUACCUAUAAGACUGGGAUAACUUCGGGAAACCGGAGCUAAUACCGGAUAAUAUUUUGAACCGCAUGGUUCAAAAGUGAAAGACGGUCUUGCUGUCACUUAUAGAUGGAUCCGCGCUGCAUUAGCUAGUUGGUAAGGUAACGGCUUACCAAGGCAACGAUGCAUAGCCGACCUGAGAGGGUGAUCGGCCACCCUGGAACUGAGACACGGUCCAGACUCCUACGGGAGGCAGCAGUAGGGAAUCUUCCGCAAUGGGCGAGAGCCUGACGGAGCAACGCCGCGUGAGUGAUGAAGGUCUUCGGAUCGUAAAACUCUGUUAUUAGGGAAGAACAUAUGUGUAAGUAACUGUGCACAUCUUGACGGUACCUAGUCAGAAAGCCACGGCUAACUACGUG
rnacentral:rRNA from 1 species